rnacentral:rRNA from 1 species
GACAGAGGGUGCAAACGUUGUUCGGAUUUACUGGGCGUAAAGCGUGUGUAGGCGGCUUCGCAAGUUGGAUGUGAAAUCCCACGGCUCAACCGUGGACGUGCAUCCAAAACUGCGUCGCUAGAGUCUCGGAGAGGAAGGUGGAAUGCUUGGUGUAGAGGUGAAAUUCGUAGAUAUUCGGCGGAACACCAGUGGCGAAGGCGACUCACUGGCCCGAUACUGACGCUGAGGCGCGAAAGCGUGGGGAGCAAACAGG